AUUGAACGCUGGCGGCAGGCUUAACACAUGCAAGUCGAGCGGGGUGAUGGUGCUUGCACUAUCACUUAGCGGCGGACGGGUGAGUAAUGCUUAGGAAUCUGCCUAUUUGUGGGGGACAACAUCUAGAAAGGGAUGCUAAUACCGCAUACGUCCUACGGGAGAAAGCAGGGGAUCACUUGUGACCUUGCGCUAAUAGAUGAGCCUAAGUCGGAUUAGCUAGUUGGUGGGGUAAAGGCCUACCAAGGCGACGAGCUGUAGCGGGUCUGAGAGGAUGAUCCGCCACACUGGGACUGAGAAACGGCCCAGACUCCUACGGGAGGCAGCAGUGGGGAAUAUUGGACAAUGGGGGGAACCCUGAUCCAGCCAUGCCGCGUGUGUGAAGAAGGCCUUAUGGUUGUAAAGCACUUUAAGCGAGGAGGAGGCUCUUUUGGUUAAUACCCAAGAUGAGUGGACGUUACUCGCAGAAUAGGCACCGGCUAACUCUGUGCCAGCCGCCGCAGUAACAC
rnacentral:rRNA from 1 species